rnacentral:rRNA from 1 species
AUUGAACGCAGGCGGCAGGCCUAACACAUGCAAGUCGAACGGUAGCACAGAGAGCUUGCUCUCGGGUGACGAGUGGCGGACGGGUGAGUAAUGUCUGGGAAACUGCCCGAUGGAGGGGGAUAACUACUGGAAACGGUAGCUAAUACCGCAUAAUGUCGCAAGACCAAAGAGGGGGACCUUCGGGCCUCUUGCCAUCGGAUGUGCCCAGAUGGGAUUAGCUAGUUGGUGAGGUAAUGGCUCACCAAGGCGACGAUCCCUAGCUGGUCUGAGAGGAUGACCAGCCACACUGGAACUGAGACACGGUCCAGACUCCUACGGGAGGCAGCAGUGGGGAAUAUUGCACAAUGGGCGCAAGCCUGAUGCAGCCAUGCCGCGUGUAUGAAGAAGGCCUUCGGGUUGUAAAGUACUUUCAGCGGGGAGGAAGGCAAUGCGGUUAAUAACCGUGUUGAUUGACGUUACCCGCAGAAGAAGCACCGGCUAACUCCGUG